rnacentral:tRNA from 1 species
GGGCGUGUGGCUCAGUUGGUAGAGCGUUCGCUUAGCAUAUUUCUCGGUUUCCGAUUAAAAUUGGGAGUCUGGGUACGGAUAUAUGCGAAAGGUCCUGGGUUCGAUUCCCAGCCCGUCCA